rnacentral:rRNA from 1 species
UACAGAGGUCUCGAGCGUUGUUCGGAUUCAUUGGGCGUAAAGGGUGCGUAGGUGGCUAGGUAAGUCGGAUGUGAAAUCCCGGGGCUCAACCCCGGAACUGCAUUCGAUACUGCCUGGCUAGAGUACUGGAGAGGAGAUUGGAAUUUACGGUGUAGCAGUGAAUGCGUAGAUAUCGUAAGGAAGACCAGUGGCGAAGGCGGCCUUCUGGACAGUGACUGACGCUGAGACGCGAAAGCGUGGGGAGCAAACAGG